rnacentral:rRNA from 1 species
CCUACGGGGGGCAGCAGUGGGGAAUAUUGGACAAUGGGGGGAACCCUGAUCCAGCCAUGCCGCGUGUGUGAAGAAGGCCCUCGGGUUGUAAAGCACUUUCAGUGAGGAAGAACGCCUGGUGGUUAAUACCCAUCAGGAAAGACAUCACUCACAGAAGAAGCACCGGCUAACUCUGUGCCAGCAGCCGCGGUAAUACGGAGGGUGCGAGCGUUAAUCGGAAUUACUGGGCGUAAAGCGCGCGUAGGUGGCUUGAUAAGCCGGUUGUGAAAGCCCCGGGCUCAACCUGGGAACGGCAUCCGGAACUGUCAAGCUAGAGUGCAGGAGAGGAAGGUAGAAUUCCCGGUGUAGCGGUGAAAUGCGUAGAGAUCGGGAGGAAUACCAGUGGCGAAGGCGGCCUUCUGGACUGACACUGACACUGAGGUGCGAAAGCGUGGGUAGCAAACAGGAUUAGAUACCCUAGUAGUC